rnacentral:rRNA from 1 species
CGCGAUACAGGGUGACAGCCCCGUACACAAAAAUGCACAUGCUGUGAGCUCGAUGAGUAGGGCGGGACACGUGGUAUCCUGUCUGAAUAUGGGGGGACCAUCCUCCAAGGCUAAAUACUCCUGACUGACCGAUAGUGAACCAGUACCGUGAGGGAAAGGCGAAAAGAACCCCGGCGAGGGGAGUGAAAAAGAACCUGAAACCGUGUACGUACAAGCAGUGGGAGCACAGAGCAAUCUGUGUGACUGCGUACCUUUUGUAUAAUGGGUCAGCGACUUAUAUUCUGUAGCAAGGUUAACCGAAUAGGGGAGCCGAAGGGAAACCGAGUCUUAAC